CCUACGGGAGGCAGCAGUGAGGAAUAUUGGUCAAUGGCCGGAAGGCUGAACCAGCCAUGCCGCGUGAAGGUCAGUGCCCUAUGGGCGUUAAACUUCUUUUGUGCGGGAGCAAUAAUGGUCACGUGUGGCCAGACGAGAGUACCGUACGAAUAAGCAUCGGCUAACUCCGUGCAGGCAGCCGCGGUAAUACGGGGGAUGCAAGCGUUAUCCGGAUUUAUUGGGUUUAAAGGGUGCGUAGGCGGUGGGGUAAGUCAGCGGUGAAAGCCCCCGGCUCAACGGGUGAAGUGCCAUUGAUACUGGCUUGCUGGAAUGCGGAUGCGGUGGGAGGAAUGUGUGGGGUAGCGGUGAAAUGCAUAGAUAUAACACAGAACACCGAUUGCGAAGGCAUCUCACGAAUCCGCGAUUGACGCUGAUGCACGAAAGCGUGGGUAUCAAACAGGAUUAGAUACCCUUGUAGUC
rnacentral:rRNA from 1 species